GCCUGAAUAGUCUUCCGGAGGCUUCUUCCAAUAUCCACGUGACAUGGACGUUGACCACACCAGUGCAUUGACGGAGAAGAGUGGUGCCUCUGCGAGCAGCGCACAGGCGAUGGAUAACUUCGACUUGUCUCUCAACAUGCAAGACCAGGGUCAAGAGAGCGCCGCCACUCAGUCAUACCUGGACCAGACAUUUCAUACCCCUAGCUUCGGGGACGAGGAGUUCGAGAUUCCACCCAUCAACCUGCAGAACGUGGGCGGUCCUACGCAUCCCGACGAGGCAGCCACAGCGGAAGUGGUCUACGGAUCUCAGCCGGGGAUGGCUCCGCAGACGAGCAUGGCGCAAGCCAUGGGCUCCCCUAUGUCGGGCGGAAUGAUGGAACCACCGCAGCACUCCUAUCCGGGGCCCCAGGGCCCCCCCGACAUGUAUCACCACGCCAUGGGCAUGCCGCCUCCGCCGUCCAUGCAUUUACAAAGUGUUUCUUCCUACGAGGGUCCAUACCUCGGCCAGUACCCAUCUCCGCCGGCGGCGCCGCCGCCUCAAGGUGCUCUCAUGGGCCCACCAAGCAUGCUGCGUGGACCGGCGCCCAGAGCCGGAUCGGCGGGCAGCGGCUCGCCGCCGGGUUCCAACCACACGUCGCCGGGCCAGGAGACCACCAGUGAGGAUAGUGACGACAGCACGCCGCUGUCUCAGCUGGUCGGAGGCGUGAAGCGACCUUCUCCCGAGCCGCUCAUGGACAACGGUGGAGGCAAGACCGCCAAGAAAGCCAAGAUGCCCAAGAAGAAGAAGAAGAGGGACCCCAACGAGCCACAAAAGCCCGUGUCGGCGUACGCUCUGUUCUUCCGUGACACCCAAGCAGCCAUCAAGGGUCAGAAUCCCAACGCCAGCUUUGGUGAAGUCUCCAAGAUAGUGGCAUCCAUGUGGGACGGCCUCGAAGCAGACCACAAGAACGUGUACAAGAAGAAGACCGAAGCUGCCAAAAAGGAAUACUUGAAGGCCCUCGCUGCCUACCGGGCGAGCCUUGUCUCCAAGGCCGCUGCUGACCACUCGGACACGCUGUACGCGAGUGGGCCUGUCAGUUCGUCAAGUGCAGUGCCCUCACCACCCCAGGGGAGCCUGUCACCCCUGCAGAAGAAGAGUCCAUUGCUGACCUCGCUCAUGGAAGGGGGCUCCCCACAUAAUCAGUACAUGGCCAUGAGCCCGCCCCAGGGCAUGCUUAAUGCCCAGCAGCAGGUAUGGUCCAACAUGCAUCCGAUGGCACAAAGCCCCUCCAUGAUGCAGCAGCAGCCACCUCAGCAGACCAUGAUGCAACAGCACUCUCCACCCCAGCAGAUGAUGAUGGCUUCUGCCUCGGUGGCCGCUUCAUCCUACACUGCUGACCUGAUGUCAGCGCCCAGCUUCCAGUGGUGGGGGCAUGAUGGACCAGCAGGGGCAUAUGCCUGGAGGAGCUUCCCACCAGCGAUGCAUCCGCAACGGCUGCCCCAACCCAGCCAUUGAGUCACAUGACUGGGACCGAGAGUACUGCAGCAGCGAGUGUGUCGUCUCACACUGCAGGGAUGUCUUCACAGCCUGGGUAGCACAACGGCAGGUUGCCAACACCAACACUUUUGUCAAGUAAACUGGGCCCAUGGCACAGAUCCAGACAACUGUGCUUGACAGCCUCCUAUUUUUUUAAGAGAAAGAUAAAGGGCCACUCUUACCCAGGUCUUAAUAUCUGGUAUCCCCCCCCCCUCUUUUUUUUUUUUUUUGACAGUUGCCUCAGCUUCAGGCAGCACUUUCUUUUUUGUGUGUGCUGCUGCUUGUUUUGUGUUUUGUUAUGCUUUGUUGCAAUCUGGCCACUGGGAAAGGCUGAUACACUAGUGUGUGGUUUCCUGUGUGUAUAAACAUUUGAUAGUUCUAUGUUUGUAUGAAGUGGUCUCCUAGUAAAUGCAUUCCACAUUGCCGCUACAUUCUGCUGCUGACUGGAGGGAAAAGUCUCCUGCUCCGUUCAGCCAUUCUGCUCCCCGACCAAGACACAGCUUGGUGCGCGAGUUGAUGGCCACGUGGCAAGCAGCAAGCGAGACUGCCAUCCCAGUGCUGCAGAGACUGUGGACAGAAAAGUGUGCUUCAUUAUAGCAUUAGCCAGCAGCCUGGGUACCUGUGUGACAGUGCUCCCAUGCAGAGCUGCAAGGAGAAGAGCAAGACAGAGCUGUGCUGCAUGAACUAGAGUUUGGAAGUGGCAAUUGGAAGUGCGUGGAGAGACGCUUGCACCAUCGCUGUUAUCUGCUCAUACUCGUGUGCAAAGGCUCUUAUUAUCCUGCUGUAACUGCUGCUACCUGUGUAAGGCGGCUGACACCUGUCUGCUUCCUCCUUGUGCUUCCUCCCUUCAUUUCUGCCCUAGCUUCUGCAUUGUUUUUUGUUUGAUGAAGAUGUUUUAUGAAAUCCCAUUUCCUGUGUUCAAACUAAUAAAAAUAAAAAGCCUGUUGUUGAAUAUUCUGUGUGAAAGGUAAAGAUAUGCCUGCCUGUGUAGUUCCCCCCCCCUUCCCCCCAUUUCCCCCUCUAGUGAGUUGUGUGUCACAUUUAAUGCUGCAAUGUCUAGAUUCAGCCAAAGCUCUCGGCAACAAACCUGGUGGUCAUGAACACACGGCACCUUGCGUUCAUGUUAACACAAUUGUGCGCAGCAUACCUUGCUUAACUGCUGUAUCUAGACUUUGUUAUCUUUAGCGCAAGGUGUGAUCCUGGAACUUGUGCAGUACUGCUCUGGGUUGGAGGGAACUACUGCUUGACAUUACUUCUGCAUCUUGUUCUGCUUGGUUCUUGUUCUUUCACUCUCUGGUUGGUGGUGCUAAGCAGGCCAUUGGUGGCCUGCUUGGCAGCCGCUGCUCUCUCGAGUGUGGUUGCUCAUCCUGCAAUUCCUGUUUCACUUAGAGGGCUGUCCUCCAUUUCUGUCUUGUCUUUUUGGGAACAUCCUGUAAAAUAUGGUGUACAUAACAGGCACAUCAAUCUGUUACAAAAACCUUAUGUGAAGAUAUGUGGAAUAGCGACUAGCAUUUAAUUUUGUAUAUGAACUGUACAUGCCUAAGUACAUGGAAAUGUUUUAUGGUGUGAAAUCUUGCUAGAGCAACUGGGAAGAGGCUAUUAAGCAGGUGCCCGCAAUGUUUUUGAUGCGGCAAAGCGUUAAUGCAGUAUCAGGGUUUUGGAGGAAACAAGGAAGAACAAAGUAUUUGAUUUCCUUCUGCGAGGCUUGUUGCUUGUGCCGAUCAAUACUGUGAUGAAGUCUGCUGAUGCUGGCAUGCAAACUUUUCUGCAAGAAAUGGCAAAAGAAUGAAAAGAUUAGCAGCAGUAGGUUUUUAUGGCAUUGCAUUCAGACCACACAAAAAAAGUUUGACAGAUUCACACCUUAGCUAACAAAGUGAAAGUUGCAUCAUGCAUUGAGAGUAUUAGUGUUAAGAGUGAGAGCAGUGUUCCAUGAUUACAAAUGUCAGUUCUUGUACUGUUUUAUUUAAUCUAAAUAAAGACAUACUGGAACUCGA
rnacentral:misc_RNA from 1 species